rnacentral:pre_miRNA from 1 species
UGGAAGACUAGUGAUUUUGUUGUUGUGAAUGUCAAAGAACUAACAAAAAAUCACUGUCGGCCACUG